rnacentral:misc_RNA from 1 species
CAUUAUCAACCAUCAAGCUCUGCUUGGCAUUGGGCGCCGACCUCCCCUGACCGGGGGGUCGCGCCUCAAACUGUUCGGCGGUGGCUCAGGGCCUCAAGCGUUAGUAAUACUUCCCGCUUAGAGAAACUCAGUCUCCUGCCUCUAGAAACCCACAUCUUAAGGUUGACCUCGGAUCAGGUAGGGAUACCCGCUGAACUUAA